UUCUCAGGCUGAUGGAGUGAGUGACAGAGUGGGUUGCCAACUAGAGGGACCCCACUCAGCAUGCGGGAUGGCCGCAGGGAAUACAUUCAGACGUGCCCAAAGAAGUCUGCCCAGCGGGAGACACAUAACUUUGAGGU
ensembl:misc_RNA